rnacentral:tRNA from 1 species
UGCCUUCCAAGCAGUUGACCCGGGUUCGAUUCCCGGCCAACGCA